AAGAAGCAUCACCCAGCAUGGUGGAAGGGAUCAGUGUCUGGAGACAAAAACAGGGCUCAGGAAAAUCAGGAGGCAUGGUGGGGAUUGCUGUGGGCGAGAGAGGGGGAGAGGAUCUACAAAGGGCCCUGUGACCACCUGAGGACUUUUCCUCUGCAUGAGGGGAGCCACAGCCAGGUUCAGAGCAGGAGGAUUGGCCCUAAGUGCUAUGAAGUGGGCAGGACAUAGGGAUGGAGGCAGGAGUCCAGCCUACGUUGAACUUGCCCUUGGCCCUGGGCAGAAAGACAACAUGUCCUGUAUCAUAGACUUUGGAGUGGUAAUCUUGCUAGUGGCAAUGUUUUAAACUGGUAUAUGCAUGUGGAAAUUUUAAAAACCUUGUUGCAAUUUCUUUAGCCUUCCCCCCAUUGAGAAACGUGCUUUAAAUUGGUAACACUCUCUUUAUACUGUCAUGUUCACUUGUACUUUGGUUGGGGGCUGGGCACACAUGACAAGUUCUCACGGCCUCAGGAUGAGAAUGGGUGUGAUGAGGUGUAGAAUUAGGAGCCAGAGCAUAUAUAUAAUCCCAGAGUGUUGCUUAUCUGAAAUAUGUUGAGAAAAGCGUGGAUUCUGUAUUUUCACCCAGUCUGCUGGUGAACACACAUUCUUUUUUCUUCAUUACUCAGAGAAUAACCAUUCCUUCACAUGCAGAGAGACAAGGGAAGAUGUUCAGGGGAUUCACACAAAUGAGCUAACCUAGUGUAUAGGUUUUGCUGUGUACAGG
rnacentral:lncRNA from 1 species